rnacentral:sRNA from 1 species
UUUAAUCACUACAAAAUUAUCAUUUUUGAUAUUGCUUUUUUGCAUAACUAUAACAAUUCGAUUAUAAUCAUCAAACCGCAGAGAUAUUUGAUAGCAUUUAAUUAG